rnacentral:rRNA from 1 species
GACGAACGCUGGCGGCGUGCUUAACACAUGCAAGUCGAACGGAAAGGCCCUGCUUUUGUGGGGUGCUCGAGUGGCGAACGGGUGCGUAACACGUGAGUAACCUGCCCUUGACUUUGGGAUAACUUCAGGAAACUGGGGCUACUCCCGGAUAGGAGCCCCUGCUGCAUGGUGGGGGUUGGAACGUUUCGGCGGUUGGGGAUGGACGCGCGGCUUAACAGCUUGUUGGUUGGGUAGUGGCUUACCAAGGCAUUGGCGGGUAGCCGGCCUGGGAGGGUGACCGGGCUCAAGAGUACUAAGAUACGGCCCAGACGCGUACAGGAGGCAGCGGGGGGGAGUAUGGCACAGUGGGCGGAAGCCUGAUGCAGCGACGCCGCGUGCGGGAUGACGGCCUUCGGGGUGUAAACCGCUGUCGCCUGUGACGAAGCGGGAGUGACGGUAAUGGGUAAAGAAGCACCGGCUAACUACGUG